GAGUUUGAUCAUGGCUCAGAACGAACGCUGGCGGCAGGCUUAACACAUGCAAGUCGAACGACAUAGUGGCAGACGGGUGAGUAACGCGUGGGAACGUGCCUUUCACUACGGAAUAGCUCUUGGAAACGAGUGGUAAUACCGUAUACGCCCUCCGGGGGAAAGAUUUAUCGGUGAAAGAUCGGCCCGCGUUAGAUUAGUUUGUUGGUGGGGUAAUGGCCUACCAAGACUACGAUCUAUAGCUGGUCUGAGAGGAUGAUCAGCCACACUGGGACUGAGACACGGCCCAGACUCCUACGGGAGGCAGCAGUGGGGAAUCUUGCACAAUGGGCGAAAGCCUGAUGCAGCCAUGCCGCGUGAAUGAUGAAGGCCUUAGGGUUGUAAAAUUCUUUCGCUAGGGAUGAUAAUGACAGUACCUAGUAAAGAAGCCCCGGCUAACUUCGUGCCAGCAGCCGCGGUAAUACGAAGGGGGCUAGCGUUGUUCGGAAUUACUGGGCGUAAAGCGCGCGUAGGCGGGCUAUUAAGCCAGAUGUGAAAGCCCGGAGCUCAACUCCGGAACUGCAUUUGGAACUGGUAGCCUAGAGACCAGGAGAGGUUAGCGGAAUACCGAGUGUAGAGGUGAAAUUCGUAGAUAUUCGGUGGAACACCAGUGGCGAAGGCGGCUAACUGGACUGGUACUGACGCUGAGGCGCGAAAGUGUGGGGAGCAAACAGGAUUAGAUACCCUGGUAGUCCACACCGUAAACGAUGAAUGCUAGUUGUCUGCGCGCAUGCGUGCAGGUGACGCAGCUAACGCAUUAAGCAUUCCGCCUGGGGAGUACGGCCGCAAGGUUAAAACUCAAAGAAAUUGACGGGGGCCCGCACAAGCGGUGGAGCAUGUGGUUUAAUUCGAAGCAACGCGCAGAACCUUACCCGCGUUUGACAUGCCCUGUUUGGUUACCAGAGAUGGUUUCCUUCAUUUAGUUGGCAGGUGCACAGGUGCUGCAUGGCUGUCGUCAGCUCGUGUCGUGAGAUGUUGGGUUAAGUCCCGCAACGAGCGCAACCCUUAUCCUUAGUUGCCAGCACGUCUGGGUGGGCACUCUAAGGAAACUGCCGGUGCUAAGCCGGAGGAAGGCGGGGAUGAUGUCAAGUCCUCAUGGCCCUUACACGCGGGGCUACACACGUGCUACAAUGGCAGUGACAAUGGAUAAUCCCCAAAAGCUGUCUCAGUUCAGAUUGUCCUCUGCAACUCGAGGGCAUGAAGUUGGAAUCGCUAGUAAUCGUGGAUCAGCAUGCCACGGUGAAUACGUUCCCGGGCCUUGUACACACCGCCCGUCACAUCAUGGGAGUUGGUUCUACCCGAAGGCUGUGCGCUAACUUAGGAGGCAGCAGACCACGGUAGGAUCAGCGACUGGGAUGAAGUCGUAACAAGGUAACC
rnacentral:rRNA from 1 species